CCUGCGGGGGGCUGCAGUGGGGAAUAUUGGACAAUGGGCGAAAGCCUGAUCCAGCCAUGCCGCGUGUGUGAAGAAGGCCUUCGGGUUGUAAAGCACUUUCAGUGGGGAAGAAAGCCUUGGGGCUAAUACCCUCGAGGAAGGACAUCACCCACAGAAGAAGCACCGGCCAACUCCGUGCCAGCAGCCGCGGUAAUACGGAGGGUGCGAGCGUUAAUCGGAAUUACUGGGCGUAAAGCGCGCGUAGGCGGUCUGAUAAGCCGGUUGUGAAAGCCCCGGGCUCAACCUGGGAACGGCAUCCGGAACUGUCAGGCUAGAGUGCAGGAGAGGAAGGUAGAAUUCCCGGUGUAGCGGUGAAAUGCGUAGAGAUCGGGAGGAAUACCAGUGGCGAAGGCGGCCUUCUGGACUGACACUGACGCUGAGGUGCGAAAGCGUGGGUAGCAAACAGGAUUAGAUACCCUGUAGUC
rnacentral:rRNA from 1 species